rnacentral:rRNA from 1 species
UACGUAGGGGCCUAGCGUUGUCCGGAUUUAUUGGGCGUAAAGAGCUUGUAGGCGGUUUGUCGCGUCUGCUGUGAAAUUUCGGGGCUCAACCCCGAACUUGCAGUGGGUACGGGCAGACUAGAGUGUGGUAGGGGAGACUGGAAUUCCUGGUGUAGCGGUGAGAUGCGCAGAUAUCAGGAGGAACACCGAUGGCGAAGGCAGGUCUCUGGGCCAUAACUGACGCUGAGAAGCGAAAGCAUGGGGAGCGAACAGG